CACGUAGGGCGCAAGCGUUGUCCGGAAUUAUUGGGCGUAAAGAGCUCGUAGGCGGUCUGUUGCGUCCGCUGUGAAAACUCGGGGCUUAACCCCGAGCCUGCAGUGGAUACGGGCAGACUAGAGGUAGGUAGGGGAGAAUGGAAUUCCCGGUGUAGCGGUGGAAUGCGCAGAUAUCAGGAGGAACACCGGUGGCGAAGGCGGAUCUCUGGGCCAUUACUGACGCUGAGGAGCGAAAGCGUGGGGAGCGAACAGG
rnacentral:rRNA from 1 species